GCUGGGAUAGCUCAGUUGGUAGAGUAGCGGUCUCCAAAAACGUAUGUCGGAGGUUAAGCCCUUCUCCCGGUGCCA
rnacentral:tRNA from 1 species